ACGGGUGAGUAACACGUGGGAACGUACCCUUUGGUUCGGAAUAACGCUGGGAAACUAGCGCUAAUACCGGAUACGCCCUUUUGGGGAAAGGCUUGCUGCCGAAGGAUCGGCCCGCGUCUGAUUAGCUAGUUGGUGGGGUAAUGGCCUACCAAGGCGACGAUCAGUAGCUGGUCUGAGAGGAUGAUCAGCCACACUGGGACUGAGACACGGCCCAGACUCCUACGGGAGGCAGCAGUGGGGAAUAUUGGACAAUGGGCGCAAGCCUGAUCCAGCCAUGCCGCGUGAGUGAUGAAGGCCUUAGGGUUGUAAAGCUCUUUUGUCCGGGACGAUAAUGACGGUACCGGAAGAAUAAGCCCCGGCUAACUUCGUGCCAGCAGCCGCGGUAAUACGAAGGGGGCUAGCGUUGCUCGGAAUCACUGGGCGUAAAGGGCGCGUAGGCGGCCAUUCAAGUCGGGGGUGAAAGCCUGUGGCUCAACCACAGAAUUGCCUUCGAUACUGUUUGGCUUGAGUUUGGUAGAGGUUGGUGGAACUGCGAGUGUAGAGGCGAAAUUCGUAGA
rnacentral:rRNA from 1 species